UGUUACAUCCGAAACGUGGGGCAAGGUCUGGAAGGUAGCGCGGCCUUAUUGGACGCGGCAGAGACACACCUCCUAAAGUUACACCUCCUCUUGGCGCUUGGAUCAUCAGAAAUAGUAAGGUUCACCUUCCAGGGUGGUGGAGUUCGAGCUUCGCUUUUGCCCUUUUUCUGACAGCUAACCAACAGGGGGCGUGGCUUAGUCUCAGCUUUCUUCCAUUUCUGACGGUUACCUCCCCUCCUCCGGGGCGUGGCUUAAUUUGAAAGCCCAACCCCCAGAGGGAAGUGUCAAUAGUUGUUGCACGUGUAGGUCAUUUUUUUCAGGGAAUUUAAAGUGAAGAGUCGUGUUAGCGCCACCUUUAGCCUUGUUCACAGCUAAGAUGAAGGCUGCGCGCAUUGUCCUGAGAAACGCGGCUCCUUUGGCCGCUGGUAGUGGUAGUGGUAGCGCUGGCGGCUCUACUGCCAACAACGGAGCCGGAGCCGGAGCUGGAGCUGGAGCCGAAGCUGGAGCCGGAGCUGGAGCUGGAACUGGAGCUGGAGCCGGAGCCGAAACAAUCAAAGAGGUGGAACGUUUGUCACGUUUCUCUCCAUCGCCGCUUUCCAUCAAGCAAUUCCUAGAUUUCGGUUCAACAAAUGCAUGUGAGAAAACCUCAUUCUCAUUUCUUCGGCAUGAGCUUCCAGUUCGGCUAGCAAAUAUUUUGAAAGAAAUUGAUCUCCUUCCUAGUCUAUUAUUGGGUACAACUUCAGUACAAGUAGUAAAGGAUUGGUACAUUCAAAGCCUACUGGAACUAGUGGAAUUUCAAGAUAAAAAAUCGGAUGACCACAAAGUUCUUUCAGAUUUCAUAGAUGCCAUUACUAAGAUCCGAAACAGACAUCACAAUGUAAUGCCCAUGAUGGCACAAGGGAUAUUAGAAUACAGAGAUUCAUCUAAAAUGGAUUCAUGCAUCAAUCACAAUAUUCAGUACUUCUUGGAUCGAUUUUACAUGAACCGGGUAUCUAUUCGAAUGUUAAUAAACCAGCACACAUUUAUAUUUGAUACCAAUAAUGCGUGUAACCCGCAACAUAUUGGAUGCAUUGAUCCUUGCUGUGAUGUUGUGGAUCUAGUGUAUGAUGCUUUCCAGAGUUCCCAGAUGCUUUGUGAUCAACACUAUUUUGCUUCUCCAGAGUUAAAGCUUACUCAAAUAAAUGCAAAAGCACCUGGAAAGCCUAUUUACAUAGUAUAUGUACCUUCGCAUCUCUUUCACAUGCUGUUUGAACUUUUCAAGAAUGCAAUGAGAGCAACAGUUGAACAUCAGCAAAAAAAACCUUCCCUUGAUCCAAUUGAGGUGACCGUUGUACUUGGAAAAGAAGACCUAACUAUUAAGAUUUCUGACAGAGGUGGUGGUGUUCCACUGAGGAUGAUUGAAAGACUCUUCAGCUAUACAUAUUCUACUGCACCAAAGCCUGUGAUGGAUAACAAAAAUACUCCUAUGGCUGGAUUUGGUUAUGGAUUACCUAUUUCUCGUCUUUACGCUAAAUACUUUCAUGGAGAUCUCAAUCUGUACUCUAUUUCGGGGUAUGGAACAGAAGCUGUUAUCCACCUAAAGGCACUUUCUGCAGAAUCUAUAGAGAAGCUUCCUGUUUUCAAUAAAUCUGCAUGUAAACAUUAUCAGACCUCUGUAGAAGCAGAUGACUGGUGUGUUCCUAGGCAAAAAACAAAUUCAUCAACACAGAAUGUUGUUGUGUGAAGAGUACAUUUGUCCAACACAUUGAGAUGGGAUCAAAUCACAGUUUCAAAAGGAAUUAAUGACGUAAAUUACUUGAAGUCACUACUGUUCAACACAAAGACUUAAAUGAGAUGAAAAAAAUUAUACUGAAUGGAUGCUACCCAUGCUGUGUGCAAUGUAAACUAUUAGGAGAAUUAAAGGGAUAGAGUAGUGCACAUAUUGGUGGUCUUGAAGUUUAGAUUAACACUCCAAAAUUCUAAAGUUUUCAGAUUCCUGUGUUUUGAAAAAAAAAGUAGCUAUAUGGCUUCUAGCUGUAUCUAUAUUGAAGGAAAUGUAAAACCAUGAAGGAAUUUCAAAGGAACUGAAAUGAAUAGAAUUAGGUCAUCCGUUAAUUGAAUAGGAUAUGAGGCUAUCAGUAAAAACUUUUAUGAAUGGAAUUGUUUAUGCAACUGUCAAGUUGAAAUUAUUUCACAAUAUGGAUUUAGGUUGUAUUUGAUAUUUAAUCUGACAGCCUCCUUCUGUACUUCAAAUAAAAUGCAACUUUAAAAAUAUAUUAGUAAUUUAUUGGAGGUCUUUCAUAAGGGUGUAAUGAUCAAUAGACUUGCGGAGGAUAUAAUACCUACAUUUUUAAGAAUUUAGGAAAUACAUUAACUGAGACACAAGAAAAAUAAUUAUCCAUGCAGCAGCUAAGAGUAACAAUGGUAGAAUAUUUUGUGAAGAAUUGAUUGUAAAAAUACUUCAUUGUAAGGAAUUGGUGCUCCUUAAAACCGGGAAUCUAUUAAGGGCCCAGCUAGUACCAAUAUAAAUUAUCUUGCCUUUUCUUUUUAGGUAGAAUAAUCUUAAUACAUUUUAAGGGAUUAUUGUGACAAUUUUGCAUCCAUUCUUAUUUAUAGCAGUUUUAUCAGUGCUGUUUUUGCUAAUUGCCACUUUUUCAUGGAUUCCAAAUUCAUAUGAAUAAGCAAUCCCAGCUAUAUGAAGCUAUCAUGUGCAGUUGGUACAGUGCCAACAAAGGUUUAGCAGUUAACAUUGAUGAAAUAUUGAAUGUUUUCUGCUGAAAAUAUAAGCUUGGAAAAUACUGAAUGUUAUGUUAACUAUUAUUAGAUCCUAAUCAUGAAAAAGAAAUCUAAUUGUUAUGCUAAUGGAAAGUGCAUAUUUGGUAGUCUGAGUACAUUAAAGAUACUCUGAUGAGAUAUUUAUGUACUGCUUGAGUACCAUGUUCUGGUGGGUAUCACAAAUGGUAUCAAAAUAAUAACAGUAGUACAGAUGUUAAUUCAAUUUUGGCUGUUACAAUAAUACUUGUUACUAUGAUACACUUGUGUACUUUGACCAAUAUAGUACAUACCACAAAGAGUUGCUGUGCUAAUAUUGCUGCUGAUCUGCUCCACAAUCUUUACAGAGGACCUGAAGACUGCAUGGAAUAGGGAAUCGGCCAGAGCCUUUAACAAGAUUCUGCCAAUACGCAAAAUCCCCAUGAUUUAUGGAGGGGAUAAGGGAGCUGAAAAGGGUCAACAAUCUGCUCUUAGGCCUGGAGACUAAAACAUACGAAGAACAGUUGCAGGAUUUUGCCUUUUCUGGAGAAAAAAAGGACUAGGGGUGACAUGAUAGCAUUAUUCCAAUAUUUGAGGGGCUGCCUCAAAGAAGAGGGAGUCAACUUACUUUCCAAAGCACCAGAGGGCAGGACAAGAAACAAUGGAUGGAAAAUAACCAAGGAGAGAAGCAACCUGGAAUUGAGAAACUUCCUACCAUGAUAUCCUCCAAAUGGUAUCCUCCAAAUUUGGAUUUAACUAUAAUUCCCCAGUAACACAGCCAUAUCUACUUAGAUAUAUACAAACUAAAGCUGAAUUGAUUUUGAAGGGAGAGACUGGAACAAGUUGAUAUAAAAAAUUGAUAUAUAGAAGAUAAGAUAAAAAUUGAUAUAUAGAAGAUAAGAAUUAUAAUCUUGGAAUGAUGAAAAGAUAAAUACCAAGCCAUCAAAUAAUAGAAAUGGUAGUUUUCACUGGAAAAACUUAGUAAAUGUAUACCAUAUGAACAAUAUUAUUUAGAUUAUAUAAUACAGCUAUCAUCUUGGAAAGGCCUGUAAAGUGUUCUUGUGCUUCUGUGCUUUUCAUAUAGUACAGGGGUGUCAAACUCAAAGCCCGGGGCUGGAUCCAGCCCACGAGGUGCUUAGAUCUGGCUUGUGGGGUUGCCCUAGAAACAGCAAAGGACUGGCCCGCAGUGCCUCUGCCAGUGAAAACGGAGCUCAGGAGGCUGUGUGUAGCCUUCCCAGGCUGUUUUCAGCCGGGACAGCCUCUUGCAGCUCUCUGCCAGCGAAAACAGAUUCUUUUUAUCUCGUUUUCACUGGCAGAGGGCUUCAAGAAACUGUCCUGGCUGAAAACAGGGCCCAGGGCCCACACAUGGCCCCCUGAGCUCCAUUUUUGCUGCAGAAGGCCAUGCCCAUCCCAACCCCCAGUCGCCCCCCUUUUUAAAAGUUAAGCAAAUAUUAAUCCAUCUGAUUUUUUUAGUUCACUGUUUCGAUCUUGAAAUGCUUUACAAACAUUUUAAAAAAGCAAUGUGGGAAGGGUCUACACAUAAACAUGUAAACAUCCAAAUGUGCUUUGUGGCUUUGAAUUUGAUGGUAUAUUUUAUAAACCCCACCAAAAAGAUUUCUUUGGUUAAGCAAAUUGGAAUUAUCACAGUAUAUAAACCUAACCACUGAUUUAACAGAGAAACAGAUGAAACUAUAUAGUCCUGCUGACUGCAAAACACGACAUACCACUGAAAACUUUGGCUUUCCCUGAGAAGGAGAAGAAUAAGGAAAUCAGGAGGAAAAGAAAUAACCCAUUUUGUCCUUGGAAAUACUUUAUAUCAGUUAGAAAAAAAACUAUCCCACAGCUUUAAAUAUCUGAAAUUCUGAGUAUGCUGGAAUCCAGAAUCAAUUUGUGUUGCUAAAAUCUCUAUCACAGUGCCUUGCCCCAGAGAAGUGCAGUAGCAAUAGGAAUCCUGCCUUUGUAGGGAAACAGGAGGAGAGGACUUCAUUGCAGUUGUACCACUUCUAUUUAUGUUGCACACAGCCAAGCUUUAUGAAAAGGAUUAAGUGUUUCCUAAUGCUUGACAAUACAGGAACCAUUUGUAAAAAAGCUGGAAGAUUAUUCCAACUGUUUUGAGGCUGUAAGCUUUCAAAAACAGAGAGUUAAGCCUGCCUCCCAUAGGUUCGUCUUAGCUCUAGACAACUUGAAAUGAAUUGACAGGUUUAAAUAAAGGGCGGAUCAGCUGCAGACACUUUUGGAUGAACAGGAGUUGGGGAGGUCAUGUUCCAAACAACAAAGAUGUAAAUAUAAAGGUUACCAAGCUGUUAAAAAUAACCUUCAGGCAAACUAAAUUGGUUCUCAGUCAGUGCACCUGUUGCUGGUCUUCGCACUUACAUGCACACCAGAAAGCAGACCAGUGGCCGGUGUGCAUGCACACUCUGGAAACAGAAAGAUCAUCUUCCUGGAGUACACAUGCGCAAUGGGCAGCUGCUCUUCCGAUUUCCGGCACGUCUGUGCACAUGAAAACAUCUGGCCGGAGCAGCGGAACCCGGAAGAGUAAUGGGCGAUGGAUCUGCAUGCCCAGAGAAAUGGCUCUGUGUGCCACUUCCGGCACACGUGCCAUAGGUUCGCCAUCAUGGAUCUAAGCUAAAAUAAAAUCACAUUGUGGCUGAGUGUUAACAGCAAUUAUUAAUUUCU